UGUGAUUCUAGAUGGCCAGACUGCUUGCAACAAUGACAAGAAACUGCCAUGUGGGGAAUCGGGUUUCCGGGGGCCCGUGGGGCUUCGGCGGGGCCUUACUGCAGGGCGUGCUGAAAUGCUGAUGUGCAGGCCCUGGAUCCACGGGGGAGCGCCGGCCCGGCUCCUGUUACCGAGCACACUGACAGACACACAUUCAUACACAUAUUCUCACUUGUGCUCACACACACACACAAGCAAAACACGCACGCAUGCACUUUCACGAACUUCUCAGAGAGGUGACCGUGUCACUUGAACAUCCUGGCAUUACAUGUUGGACCCCCGGGACAUUUCUAAGUGACCCCAAGCUUCUGAACGGUCUCCCUCUCCUCCCCUGACAAUCCUUCCACACCUUGCUCCUCGGUGAGACCGGAACCUUCCACUGCGGCUCACAGGGUGGGCUCCGCUUGACUCAUGGUGUUAUAAAGAGGGGUCGUGACCCGGUCGUAUGACUGCUUCCUGUUGUAGUUGAAGAGGUCUUCCGAGGCCUGGGGUGAUCACAGGAGAUACUACAUCCGGUGGUUGAGGGCCUGUCACAGUAAAAGACAUACAUCAGUUGAACAGUAGCUGUUUUGGGACGUAGGGAGAGAGGGAAACAGAGAAAGUGGUGUUAUUUAUUGCUGUGAGGGCCAGAGGAAGAUGGUGAAAGAGAUGAGUUCACUUCAUAUAGAAAAGACUGAAUACAUUAAAUAAAAAAACACUUUCAUGAACUA